GAAGGUUCAGUGUCCUAGUUCCCUUCCCCCAGGCAAAACGACACGGGAGCAGGUCAGGGUUGCUCUGGGUAAAAGCCUGUGAGCCUGGGAGCUAAUCCUGUACAUGGCUCCUUUACCUACACACUGGGGAUUUGACCUCUAUCUCCACUCUCAUUAAUAUGGGUGGCCUAUUUGCUCUUAUUAAAAGGAAAGGGGGGAGAUGUUGGGAGCCGCGCCCACAUUCGCCGUUACAAGAUGGCGCUGACAGCUGUGUUCUAAGUGGUAAACAAAUAAUCUGCGCAUGUGCCAAGGGUAUCUUAUGACUACUUGUGCUCUGCCUUCCCCGUGACGUCAACUCGGCCGAUGGGCUGCAGCCAAUCAGGGAGUGACACGUCCGAGGCGAAGGAGAAUGCUCCUUAAGAGGGACGGGGUUUCGUUCUCUCUCUCUCUUGCUUUUUCGCUCUCUUGCUUUUCUCUCUCUCUUGCUUUUUCGCUCUCUUGCUUCUCGCUCUCUCUUGCUUCUUGCUCUCUUGCUUCUUGCACUCUGCUCCUGAAGAUGUAAGAAUAAAGCUUUGCCGCAGAAGAUUCUGGUCUGUGGUGUUCUUCCUGGCCGGUCGUGAGAACGCGUCUAAUAACACUGGUGGCCACAGCCUCUGAGGAGAAAGGGAGAGGCCAUUUGUUAGUUUUGGUAUACUUUAACUAUUUUUCAGAUAUUUUAUUUCUUUUAUGGACUGGUGUGCAUGUAUGUGUGUAUAUAUGGAGACCGGAAAUUAACCUUGGGUAUUGUUCUUUUUACCUUCCUUAUUUUUCUCUAUAAAAAGUUCUCUCUCUCUGUCUCUCUCUGUCUCUCUAUCUCUCUGUCUCUCUGUCUCUCUGAAUCUCUCUCUGUCUCUCUCUCUCUCACACACACACACACACACACACACACACACACACACACACACACAAAAGACAACUUUUGGGAGUCAAUCCUUCAACUGUGUGGGUCUCAGGAAUGGAACUCAGGCUAUUAGCUUUGAUGGUAAAUGGCUUUACCUGUUGAGACAUCUCACAGGUCCACAUCUAUGGGUCUCUUGCUGGCCUGGAGUUCACCAAGUGGGCUAUUAUGAAUGGUCAUGAGCCCAGGCACACACCUACGUCCACCUCACCAGUGCUGGGACAGGCCACAUACCUGGUGUCAUUACUUGUGUUCUGGCAGUUAUCCUAGAGGUACACGUUUAUGGCAAGCAAGCACUUUAUUGACAAAGCCAUUUCCUGAGUACCUGACAGGGUUUUAACAUUAUAAGUGGGUCUGAAGGGCCCAUUACCAGACUCCCUUUCCUGGCUUGUGUAAUCCAAAGUUGGUGGAAUCUCUGCCUCAAAUGUCACAGCUUCAAAAUCCAUUUCUGUCUUAGUAGGAUUUUUGACCAUAAUAGAUUUUAAUAUUUUACUGAAGACCACUACUAAUCUCACACACUCUGCCUUGAAAUUCAAAGUAAAAGCCGCUCCUGUUUUCUCUUUCGGAGGGAAUAUUUCUCUGUUCCUUACGCACUGGAAAAUGUAAAUCCAAAGAACUCUUUAUUAAAAGGCAACAGACGUGACAGAACCAUGAAUUUGCUGGGAGUGUCUAUAGAUGGAUCAUUACUUGAACAAUAGAGAUGCUAUUCUAGAAAAUUUGUCACCAGGACAAACUUUUGUGAUUAGUUGUGACAGAUCCCGAUAUGGCUUGGUCUCCCUCUGGUCCUCAGCAGAGCCGCUGGUCCUGGAUGAGUUUCAGUCUAUGGACAUCUGUGUUGGUUGGCAAGAGGCAGAUUUCAGAGUCACUCCAGAUCAUCAGACCCACCAGAAGAGGGCAUUAGAUCCUAUUACAGAUGGUUGUGAGCCAUCAUAUGUUGCUGGGAAUUGAACUCAGGACCUCUGGAAGAACAGAGUGCUCUUAACCACUGAGCCAUCUCUCCAGUCCUGGGUUAGUAUUUGAUUACUGUUCUAUGGACUAGGGACUGUCUCAUGGAGCCUGGGUACCUGCCUCAUGAGUAUAAACAAAUAAGCAGAACGUGGACCCAGUUAGAUCAGUCCAAAUCCAGAAUUCCUGCUUCAG
rnacentral:lncRNA from 1 species